rnacentral:misc_RNA from 1 species
AUUGCUGGUUCAUUUUGC